CCUUUGGAGAAUUACACCAACCCAAGUAGCUACGGCAAAAGGGAAUUCGUUGAAGAAGGAA
rnacentral:sRNA from 12 species